rnacentral:rRNA from 1 species
AGCAGCAGCCGCGGUAAUACAGAGGGUGCGAGCGUUAAUCGGAUUUACUGGGCGUAAAGCAUGCGUAGGCGGCUUCUUAAGUCGGAUGUGAAAUCCCUGAGCUUAACUUAGGAAUUGCAUUCGAUACUGGGAAGCUAGAGUAUGGGAGAGGAUGGUAGAAUUCCAGGUGUAGCGGUGAAAUGCGUAGAGAUCUGGAGGAAUACCGAUGGCGAAGGCAGCCAUCUGGCCUAAUACUGACGCUGAGGUACGAAAGCAUGGGGAGCAAACAGGAUUAGAUACCCCUGUAGUCCCUGUCUCUUAUAC